GGGCCCGCACAAGCGGUGGAGCAUGUGGUUUAAUUCGAUGAUACGCGAGGAACCUUACCAGGGCUUAAAUGUAAGUUGCAUAGAUCAGAGAUGGUCUUUUCUUCGGACUACUUACAAGGUGCUGCAUGGUUGUCGUCAGCUCGUGCCGUGAGGUGUCAGGUUAAGUCCUAUAACGAGCGCAACCCCUGUCGUUAGUUGCCAGCAAGUUAAGUUGGGCACUCUAGCGAGACUGCCGGUGCAAACCGCGAGGAAGGUGGGGAUGACGUCAAAUCAUCACGGCCCUUACGUCCUGGGCUACACACGUGCUACAAUGGCCGGUACAGAGAGCAGCCACUACGCGAGUAGGAGCGAAUCUAUAAAACCGGUCUCAGUUCGGAUCGCAGUCUGCAACUCGACUGCGUGAAGCUGGAAUCGCUAGUAAUCGC
rnacentral:rRNA from 1 species